rnacentral:rRNA from 1 species
UACGGAGGGUGCAAGCGCUAUCCGGAUCCACUGGGUUUAAAGGGUGCGUAGGAGGGCAGGUAAGUCAGUGGUGAAAUCUCCGAGCUUAACUUGGAAACUGCCGUUGAUACUAUCUGCCUUGAAUAUUGUGGAGGGGAGCGGAAUAUGUCAUGUAGCGGUGAAAUGCUUAGAUAUGACAUAGAACACCAAUUGCGAAGGCAGCUCGCUACACAUAUAUUGACUCUGAGGCACGAAAGCGUGGGGAUCAAACAGG